UACAGAGGGUGCGAGCGUUGCUCGGAAUCACUGGGCGUAAAGGGCGCGUAGGCGGGGAGGUAAGUCGGGUGUGAAAUCCCUCGGCCCAACCGAGGAACUGCGCCCGAGACUGCUUCUCUUGAGUCCCGGAGAGGAAGAUGGAAUUCCCGGUGUAGCGGUGAAAUGUGUAGAGAUCGGGAGGAACACCGGUGGCGAAGGCGGUCUUCUGGACGGUGACUGACGCUGAGGCGCGAAAGCGUGGGGAGCAAACAGG
rnacentral:rRNA from 1 species